ACCCACAUAUGCACGCACGCACACACACAUGCGAGCAUGUACGCACCCACAUAUGCACGCACGCACGCACAACUUCCACGACCGCACACAUAACCGUCAGAAAAACCGUAAACGCUCGUUCCGGGUCAGCGUUCCGAGCGGCAUCGCAGUCGCCAUGGCAACCACCAGAGCAAGGCGAUAGUGGGAUGGAACGUGUUACGAGGUACGUAACCCUGCCCAUUGCAUUCUUCUGAAAGGUUACAAUUUUGAGCCAGUAAAAUAUCGUGCAAUAAUAAUCUAUUUGCAAUGCCAGUGGCGUAAAUUGCUCAGUGUAUAUAUUUGCAAUGCCAAUAAAAGGAGAAAUGUGAUUAUUGUUGCUCUAAAUAAUGAAUAGCAUGUACUAUGGUCUAUUUAAUCUGUACAUAACCUACAACCUAACCCUAACACUAACCAUAACCUUAACCAAUUAACAAGUAAAUUAACAAAUAACAAACAACUAUUGCUCAUUUGAAUGUUCAUAUUUGAAUUUCUUAUGCAAGGUUUGAAAAACCUAAUGUAAGCUGGUUUAAUGUGGAAACUUUAUUCUCCAGUUGCAUUGCAAACUGUACACAAUGUUAACCAGAGAAACUUGUCUUUCUGCAGGUACGAUCCAAAAACCAGAUAAAUCGGAGAAUACAUCACAUGGCCGGGUCAUGUGCGCGUGCUUGUGUGUGUGCGUGCGCGUGCGAGUGUGUGCAGGUGCGUGCGUGUGCUGUUCUUUCGUGUAUGUGAGUGAGCACUUGUGCGCGUGAACGUGUGCGUAUGCGCGAUUGUCCACGGUAUGUGCCAUAUAUACGACAGAAUAUAUAAGCUUCUUUGCUGUACAUGUUAUUUUAUUCAGGUAAACCACAGCCACCGCAAAGGAUAUACGUCAUCGUGACGUCAUCGGUCCAUGUAGACGGCAGAUCCUGGAAGAUUGAAUUACUUCGGACUCGUGGAAUCCACUUUGCUACCCUGCCCGCUGUCGCACCAAUUUAUCUUGCAACCACCAUCUACGACUGGAGAAAGUAGAAGACAGAUUUAUUUAAAAAAUCGUGACAUUUAUGUAACCAUGUAAACUUUUUAAAGCGAAAAUAAAUGUCAAAAUAUAAAUAUAAAUAUAAAUCAGAUACUGGGGGGUAACAAUGAUUAUUGUAGGCUAUAGGUUAAAUAAACAUUUCGCUGUGUUACGGCUUCUGGUCAUCUGUAACGUCUAGGUACCAGUACCAUCUAUCACAACAUAUACACGCGCGUUUGCACUUGCACUUGCACGAAGGUACGCAUGCACGCACACGCAUGAUUUCACAGAAAACGCUUAUUCUGGGUGAGUGUUUCGAGUGGCUUCGCAGUCGCUAUAGCGGAACGAGAACCACGAUAUACGGGCAGAUAAAUGAAGUGUUUAGCCUCACGUAAGAUAUCGUACGUGAUAAUUAAACUGCUGCUGCUGAUGGGUUAGGACAUGACGGCC